rnacentral:antisense_RNA from 1 species
CAAUCCUCUAAACUGUUACAAGGAUAAAUAAUACCAAAAUUUCCCUUCCCACUUAAUAAAUACGCAGCUUUGUCACAGGUCGGUAUCGCGAGUCAGUCCAUGUUGGUAGUUCUGUUAGUUCUUAGUGCUGGGUUCUGUUAGAACUGAAGGACUAAGCAGGCAGUUACAGAGCUUCCGUCUGGAGCACUGUGAGUCUUCACAUUUCCCCGAAUCACUCAGAAAAGUAUAACAUUCCCUUUUUCUUGUUUUAC